rnacentral:misc_RNA from 1 species
CAUCCUUGAAACGGUUCAACCCGCCGCCGUAUGUACCCAUCCAAAGCGUGCCGUCACGGUCUUCGUAGAUGCUUCGCACGCUGACAUUCGACAGCCCGUUCGCUGUCGUAUAGUUCGUAAAGACCCCAUCCUUGAAACGGCUCAGACCCGCGUUGGUGCUAAUCCAGAUCGCACCCUGACUGUCUCCGGUUAUGAAAUUGAUGCGCUCAUUGAGCAGACCGUCGCGGGCUCGCCACACAGUGAACGUUCCGUUCUGAAAACGGUUUAGUCCCGCGUCUGUUCCGACCCAGACGGCUCCAUCCUUGUCCUGCCAUAUUGCCUUCACGACUCUGCCCGAUAAUCCACUGUUGUCAGGGUCGUAUGUCGUAAAGCGCCCGCUGGUGAAGCGGGUCAGUCCGCCACCCCACGUCCCAAUCCACAGGCUGCCGUCGCGGUCCGCGCACAACGACCACACACAAUCAUUCGGUAAGCCAUCCUUCAUUCUGUAGCUGGUAAAGCGACCGUCACGAAACCUGAUCAAACCCCCGCAGGUUCCGCCCAUCC